AACGAACGCUGGCGGCAUGCCUAACACAUGCAAGUCGAACGAGACCUUCGGGUCUAGUGGCGCACGGGUGCGUAACGCGUGGGAACCUGCCCUUAGGUUCGGAAUAACUCCCCGAAAGGGGUGCUAAUACCGGAUAAUGUCUUCGGACCAAAGAUUUAUCGCCUUUGGAUGGGCCCGCGUUGGAUUAGCUAGUUGGUAGGGUAAAAGCCUACCAAGGCGACGAUCCAUAGCUGGUCUGAGAGGAUGAUCAGCCACACUGGGACUGAGACACGGCCCAGACUCCUACGGGAGGCAGCAGUGGGGAAUAUUGGACAAUGGGCGAAAGCCUGAUCCAGCAAUGCCGCGUGAGUGAUGAAGGCCUUAGGGUUGUAAAGCUCUUUUACCCGGGAUGAUAAUGACAGUACCGGGAGAACAAGCUCCGGCUAACUCCGUG
rnacentral:rRNA from 1 species